UACGCAUCUAACUUUCUUGCGCAUGCUUUUAGAUUUAUCAUGACCUGCCCGUCGAAGCAAGGUAUAGUAACAUAACGGUAAAUAGAUAUUUCCUUAAAAUUUCAUGCAUUGUUCAUCUUUCAGAUCUUACAACAUGUCGUCCCUAACAACAAAUUGUUAUCGUUACAACUGCUGACUCCGACAUUUCAUAAUAUUGUGUAACAAAUUAUUUUCUUCCGUCACAAAUGCGUAUGUUGCAACAGACAGGUUAGCAAGGCAUAGCAGUAGUUGUCACAGAUAUUGCUGCGGUCGUGUGUGACGAAGAUAGUGACAAGAAUCUUGUCUCUGCAUGAUGAAGUGGCGAUGGUAGUGACGAGGAAGGCCUUGUUCAUCCUGUUUGCGUUUUGAUAAUGGUGGUAGCAGUAUGCCUCUUGGCCCAAAUUGUCAAGAUCAAACAGGAUUUUCCCCGAUGGUGUGUCAAUCGCAAAAUUAGGGCACCAUCUGAUGAAAUGAACUGUCUCUACUUAUAUUGGAGAAUUAAGCAGAUGAUUUAAGGAGACAGAAGUCGGAGAGGUUAAACAGAACUUUCUAAAGCAAGUUUUCUGUCUCCAGAAAAGAUGGAGGUGAAAGUAGAUGGAAGUUAAUAAGGUUGGUAGUAAGAACAAUGGGAAAACUAGCCAAGAUUCACUAUCAGUGAAUCGAAAGGAGAGUAAAGCGAUCUCGACAAGUAUCCCAUUAGACACGUGUGUAAGCAUAUAUGUACAUAAAUAUGCUCUUACAGAUGUAUGUGUGUAACUGUUGUCAGGCACGCAUGUCAUUCUAUGUGUAUUUUUUCGUGCACACACACACACACACACACACACACGUAUACGUGGUAAAUAGAGAUUUAACAUCUAAACGAUAAACCUUUUUCGCAUCCCGCUAAGAAAAAUCUCUACUGCAGGUUUGGAUCUAUAUACAAAUCUCUCUGUGUAUGUGUGUGUGUGUAUGAGAGCGCGCAUGCGAGUUUGUGUGAACACGCGUGGGAAGAGGACAGAUCAUAGUCUAUUCCCAGCAGAGUAAAACCAAAUUACAUGAAUUCAUGUCGUUCCUGUUAGUAAGAGACGUGAUAAACGAAUUGCCUUCAGUAAACACAAUAACUGGUAGAGACGCCUGCUGCAUGAAAAGCAAACAGUUAAGUAGGAGCUAACAUAAGAAGCCAAGCAAUUCUAGUUAAGUAAUAUUAUUCUUGUAGUAAUAAGUAAAUCCUCUAAUGGUGAAGAGCAGUAGGGGAGACAACCCUGAAGUUUAAAUCACUCGAAAAUGAAACGCAACAAGUGAGUUUCAUCUUUGGUAGCGUGAUGAUAUCUCUGGACAAUUAUUUCAUUAAUUAGAAUGUUCUGAACCACUGCAUUAACUAUGUCAGUGUCCACACGACUAUUUGUUUUCCAUGCAUCAGGAGUAGCUGAUUAUUUUUUGUAAGUUAUUACUCCAUUAUAGGUUCAUUCACUGAAACCCUAUAUUCUCAUUAGUCAUUCUGAAAUAGGGCAGUAACAUUUAAAGUAUAACUAGAUGAUGAGGUCUAGUAAUAACGGAACAUGUCAACAGUCGUCACUGUACUGCCAAAGAUUAGGCACACAUCUACUGCAUUCUGUUUAAAUAAUUUCCAUUAAUAUAAAUUCCGUGGCUGUCUUCCUUGCCUUUUGAUCAGAAUUAGUAAUUUAGAAAAUUAGUGUUCUUAUCACUAAAGGUAUAUUUUAAUUGGCAUGCUAUAUUAAGCAUACUCUUUUACUCUUUUGCUUGUUUCAGUCAUUUGACUGCGACCAUGCUGGAGCACCGCCUUUAGUCGAGCAAAUCGAUCCCAGGACUUAUUCUUUGUAAGCCUAGUACUUAUUCUAUCGGUCUCUUUUGCCGAACCGCUAAGUUACAGGGACGUAAACACACCAACAUCGGUUAUCAAGCGAUGUUGGGGGAGGGACAAAUACAGACACACAAACAUAUACACAAACACACACACACACACACACACACACACACACAUAUAUAUAUAUAUAUAUAUAUAUAUAUAUAUAUAUAUACGACGGGUUCCUUUCAGUUUCCGUCAACCAAAUCCACUCACGAGGCUUUGAUCGGCCCGAGGCUAUAAUAGAAGACACUUGCCCAAGGUGCCACGCUGUGGGACUGAACCCGGAACCCUGUGGUUGGUAAGCAAGCUACUUACCACACAGCCACUCCUAACAUUCACUUAGGAGUAGAUAAAUGUGAACCUCUAUCGCAGUACUUUCCAGCCUUUUAAGGAUAGCGACACUUCUAUUUCACGAGAAAUUAGACAACAAAGUAUAAACGUACGUAUAACAAAAAAAAAAGAUAAUCGAACAAUGUAUACCAGUUCAAUAAAUCACGUGGGUUCGUGUGUGUGGUAAAUAAUAGGUAAUCCAUGUGCAUACAUAAGCAAUGAUUUGUUUGCUGAUUUUUAUAAACAAGAACUGGUACUCUCGUGAGGUUCACUGUUGAGGUUGGGUAGCUUCCACUCAUUACACAUACAGCGAGAUACAAACAUUGCGGUGUCAUGAAGUCCCCUUAGACAAACGAACUGUGAAUCACAUGUGUUAUAAACACGUAUUACCCAAAGGAAGGUAUCUUCCAUUGGCGAUAAACAACAGUGAUUAGAUAUUCGCGUUAAAAUCUGCUGGAAUGUAUUGAGAAUGGAUAGGUUCAUGUUUUAUUCUAUUUACUCUGAAAAUGUGAAAAAUCAGAGAUUAACUAUUUGGCUCUCAGACAAUUUCGUAAUACAAUAAAAUGUCCUAACAACUACGUUGCAGAGCAUUGAUUUGCUUUGUUAUGUUCGCGAAGAGUUCCCUAUGUAUUUUAAUUCCCAGUACAAGAGCAAAAACGAGCUACAACCUCCCGAUACAGAUAUUUGAGCAAUAUCAUGAACAGUGGACGGAGUAAACAUAUCACUAUAUCCUUUAGAAGUUAUGGAAAGAGACCUUUCUAAACAACCAUCUCAGUAUCUACACCAAAGUUCUUUCAGAUAACCUGUGUACCCAUAGGCUUGGAUAAACAUAAACCACAUACUGUAAGACACAUCAACAUUUGAGAGCCACUAUAAUCUAGCAUUUUCAGAAGGUCCAUAACACCACUUGGGAAGAUAAGAAUACAUAAGCAGAAAUAUGUUGAAUUCUAUCAAGAAUAUUGAAUCUACACUAUACAGACAUCAACUGAGAUAGCUUGAGCGUUUAGUCUACCUGAAUAACUCGGUUCUCCCCCUUAAUAUUCUCUAUAGCCUGCUAGCUACUCUGUGGUCAAUGUCUGGUUGGUGUGGACGAAACAAACUAUUCAAAGAGCAACAGAAAGACCACUUAGAAGAGUAGCAACAUCUCUCCUUUAAGGGUGGACAACCUCGUUACUCACGGCUCGCUAUUACACAUGUCUCCCUUUUGGGACAUGUAGAAGAGUAACUCACACGGCCCUACUAAGAAAAGGAAGAAAAGAGAAAAAGGGAGAACAUUCAACACGUAGAGUUACACAUAGCAUCUCCAGCCAAACAUUCACAUGUCCCGUCUCGCAGUCAAAGCAACACAUUGCGAAUCGCCAUAAGCUAAUAAGCAUGCUGCAAGCAAAAUCAUGGACAUCAUCCGUUUCAAUUUUCCUUUUCCUACAUAUAUUGAUUUGGAAUUUUGGCAUAAGGCCAGCAGAUUCGGAGAAGUGGGUAAAUCGUUUACAUUGACCCCACUGCUCACCUGGUACUCGUUUUAUCGACCCCGAAAGGAUGAAAAGUAAAGUCGACCUCGGAGGAAUUUGAACUCAGAACAUAAAGGCGGGCGAAAUGCCGUUAAGCAUUUUACCCGGCGUCAUAACGAUUCUGCCGGCUCGCUGCCUUCCUCUUCCUACAUAUUUUUUCUUAUAUUUGUUUCAGUAAUUUGCCUGUGGCCAUGCUGGAGCACCGCGUUUAGUCGAGCAAAUCGACUCCAAGACUUAUUCUUUGGAAGCCUAAUACUUAUUCUAUCGGUCUCUUUUGCCGAUAGAAUAAGUUACGGAGACGCAAACACACCAGCAUCGGUUGUAAAGUGAUGUCGGGAGGACAAACACAGACACACAAACAUAUACAUACAUAUAUACGAUGGGUUUCUUUCAGUUUCCGUCUACCAAAUCCACUCACAAAGCUUUGGUCGGCCCGAGGCUACAGUAGAAGACACUUGCCCAAGGUACCACGCAGUGGGACUGAACCUGGAACUAUGUGGUUGGUAAGCAAGCUACUUACUACACAGCCACUCCUGCACCUAUAUUAACACCCUAAAAACAAAUUUAUUUUUUCGGUUUUAUUAUUUAAUUACCACAUCUGAUAGCAUACAGGACGCGCUUAUUUUCCCCAAAUUAUGUCUCAAUCAAAUCACCCCGGGUCCUAUAUGUAAAUUCUGGCCUCCCAUAAAUUAAUUUUGUUUCCAACGCUUUUUAUAUGCGUCAUUGAAAUUGGGGUGCAUCCAUCAUGCCUGUGCAUCCUUUAGGCCAUCAAAUACGAUGUAAGUAUAAUCAUUUAUCUGUAAAAACAAUUAGCAGAGAUUUGUAAAUUUGCAAAGAAUUGUAAUAAACCCACAAAAUCGAUCCCAGUGCAUGGCAGUCGACAAUUAUAUAUAUAUAUAUAUAUAUAUAUAUAUAUAUACUGGACAUCUGCCACUGAAGAGUCCGAAGCGGGGCGAAAUCAUGUGAACUGGCUGUUUCGGUACUCGUAGCGGACGAUUCUCGUCUGCCAACGAUAUGAAUAUGAGUGCUUUUAUGCAUCAUGCGUUCAUAUGAGAGUUCCUCUCAAGGUAAAUAACGCAGUAAGCACAACAUUCAUGUUAAAUUGUAUAUAAAGAUUACCUUUUGCUAUUAACAGUGCUUUUGUCGCAAUUAAUGUUAGAUAGAUAGAUAGAUAACGAAAGGUAAAGUCCUCCAUUUGAAUAACGCUGAGGAAAUGAGAAAUGGUGAGUUAUGCCUUUGUCAAAGUCAUUAGUAACAUAAGUGAAGUGAAACGGACUGUGCUCAUUAAAGACGUAUCUUGGUUCUAUGAUUCAAAGGCAUUUCACAGUGCGAAGAAUGUUUCUUUUAUACGUGUGUGUGUGUGUGUGUGUGUAUGCGUGUGUGUGUGUGGUGGGGCAUGGUAAUGUUAUGUAAUCCUUAUUUUUACAUUUACCCUAUUUGAAGGCAUAUAAGACGUAUGUUAUUAUUAUUAUUGAGUGAGCGAGCAGUGCGUGCCAUCAAAGUGACACUGGGGUAAAAUAUACGAAGCCCAGUAUACCCAUCAUGACUACCCGUCUGAUAAGGGUACACAAGGCACAUGCAUCACAACCAUAUGUAGGCGACAUAGGAAUCUCAUAUGAAGAUAAAUAGCACAUGACUUUGCAAGUGGGGCCCAGUUAGAAUUUUCUUCUGGUCGAGUAACCCAUCCCGCUCAAAAGGUCCCUGAAUAAGGGUUGUUUAAGGAUGUUGAACGAAACAACCAUGUUUCUAGAGGUGAAUUAUUCAAACCCCAAAGAAUCCCUCUCAACACAUGGCUAUGAUGCUCCCCAACUACUUCUGCUUAGAUUAGAGAUGUACAUAUCAGCCACUAAGAAGUGCUCAACUGGUUAAGGUCAAACAACUGACAAGCAAAUCUGUGGUAUUGAGCAGAAUAUUUGCUGUAGCCCAUCUUUUAUACCAAGACAAAACAAUGUACAUGAUAACACUUCCAAUCAGUUAAGAUCAGAAGCCACGAGAGCCACUGCUUGGUACUGCAUCAAGACAUUUAUUAUUAUUAUUAUUAUUAUUCAGUAGUUUUAUUUUUAUAGCGUGCUUUUACUUCACUACCGAGCGCAGCUCUGUGUGCCUUGGGUAUGUGCUGUGAUUUGUUGUGAUGCUCUGAUGGUUAUUGUAUGGAAAGUGUUCUGCAUAGGAUGUGUGCAGUGCCUAGUAGUGCAAUUUUCUGUAUGUUAUAUGUGUUUGUAAGUCCUGGUGUUUUUGUUAUGUAUUUGUCUGAAUAUUUUUUUAUCAUGCCUAAUGCACCUACUAUGAUAGGAAUUGUUUCUGUUUUCAGGUUCCACAUUCUAGUUAUCUCUAUUUCCAGGUCUUUGUAUUUUGAGAGUUUCUCCAUUUCUUUUAGAGACACGUUGUCAUCUGCCGGUAUUGAUACAUCAAUUAGAAAGCAUUUUUUUCUUCAUGAUCUCUGACAAUUAUAUCUGGUCUGUUGGCCUUAAUUUCUCUAUCUGUGUGUAUCGGCAUAUCCCAGAGUAUGGUUGCUUUCUCGUUUUCUGUGACCUUUUCUGGUGUGUGCCUAUACCAUCUUUUUUCUGUUGUUAUUCCAUAAUGUUGGCAUAGCUUCCAAUGUAUGUAGGUUCCAACUCUGUCAUGUCUGUGAAUAUAUUCCUUCUUAGCCAGGACUGGGCAGCUAGAGAUAAUAUGAUUUAUUGUUUCUUGUCCAUCUCCACAUAUUCUGCAGUUACUUGUAAUAUUUCUUUUCAUUACAUGUUUUUGGUAAUUUCUGGUGGGGAGGCUUUGGUCUUGUGCUGCAAUUAAAAAUCCCUCUGUUUCUGCUUUGAGUCCUGAGCUUCUCAACCAUUGCUGGGAUUUUUCUUUGUCUAUUUCUUUUGCGUUUAGUUUAGUGCAGUAUUUACCAUGAAGGGGUUUUUCUUGCCAUCGUUUUAUCAUGGCUCGUUGCUGUUCUAUUUUUAGUUUGGAUUUCAUUUGUUUUAUAGCUUUUGUUGUUUCUUCUUCAUCUUCUUCUUCUUCUUUGUGUUUAUUAGGUGGUUUAUUAUUAUUAUUAUUAUUAUUACUAUUAUUAUUAUUAUUAUUAUUAUUAUUAAACGUCUCAGAAACUUAUCCCGGACUUCAUAUGCGAAGAUGGGUCUCAUAUACAUUAAUUUUAUCCCUGACACUCACUACAGAAGGCUAAUUUUAGUCCAAACAGACUUCUCUAGCUAAUCUGACCCCAUAAUAAAACUAUAGUUACGGUACUUUCGUAAUGUUAUGUAAUGUAUUGCUUUAAAUAUUACAUACUUUAAUAAGGCGGCGAGCUGACACAAUCGUUAAGCAUACCGGGCCAAAUGUUCAACGACAUUUCGUCCUCCUUUUCGCUCGAAGUUCAAAUUCCGCCGAGGCAGAUUUUGCCUUUCGUCCUUUCGGGAUCAAUAAAAUAAAUUCCAGUUGUGCACUGGGGUCGAUUUCAUCAGUUUACGCCCCUACCCUGACAUUGCUGGCCUUAUGCCAAACUUUGAAACCAAUAUUACAUAUAUGCACUAAUUUUUUUUCGUAUACGCGUAGGAAUGGCUGUCUGGUAAGUAGCUCGCUUACGAACCCCAUGGUUCCAGAUUCAGUCCCACUGCGUGGCACCUUGGGCAAGUGUCUUCUACUAUGGCCUCGGGCCGACCAAAGCCUUGUGAGUGGAUCUGGUAGACGGAAACUGAAAGAAGCCCGUCGUAUAUAUGUAUAUAUGUGUGUGUUUGUGUGUCUGUGUCACUUGACAACCGAUGCUAGUGUGUUUAGGUCCCCGUAACCUAGCCGUUCGGCAAAGAGACCGAUAAAAUAAGUUCUAGGCUUACAAAGUAUAAGUCCCGGGGUCGAUUUUCUCGACUAAAGGCGGUGCUCCAGCAUGGUCACAGUCAAAUGACUGAAAUAAGUAAAAGAGCAAAAGAGAAUAUGAGCUGCUGAAAUUGGAGUGCGUCAAAUAUGCCCGUGUUUCUUUUAUUCAAUCAAAUACGGUAGUUUUUAAUGUUUCAGCAAAGAAGCAAUGCUUAUGACCUUUGCAGGGGUGGGAUAUCUCUGACUGCUGAUAUUGGGAUGCUUGAUGUUCAACUGAAUUUCUGCAAUUUAUUAGUAUGUGUAUAUAUAUAUAUAAAGUAUUUUGUGAACAUUUGCCUUGAUUGGUUACAUGUUUCCAGCUGACCAAUCACUGGUUUACUGCAUUUUUACAUGGUCAGAGUGACAGGGGAGUAUCUGUACAACUCAGGGGUAGGGAAGUAGUACCACAAAAGUCUUUUGUCGGACGGACUGGUUUAUUGAUAAUUUUCCUAGUAAAUCGCGUAUCUUUCGCUGACACACUACGCAUAGGCGUACUCAUCCCCGACCACUCUCUCUUUCUUUCUCUCCCCCCUCUCUCUCUCUCACACACACACGCAUACACACACACAUACACACACACACACACAAAACGGUAUUGUGUACAGUUCCGCCUACAACGUAUUGAUAAACUUGAAGCUAUGUCAGAAGACAUCCAAGAAGCUAUAAAGUAGAACCGAACCGGGAACUGCGAAGCGAAUUUCGUAACUACACACCCAUGGCUGCGCUUAGGGCAAAUACCAUGGUCUACUGCUUUUGAUGAAUAAAAGUUCAGGCGGAGUGUUUUGGUGCCGAUUUGACAGGUUCAAAGACGUAAAUGACACCACGACAAAAAAUUAGUUGUGGUAGCUCACAGACGGUCGAGUUUGCGAUACAGUUUCGAUUUUCAUUCGAACCAUUUUAAUGAACUUGUUCUUUAUACAUUAUUCUUUGGUAGAGAGAGCCGACACCUCUCACUCGUAAUGUCUCCUUGACAGUGGUGUGGCUAGAGGGUGUGCUGCCUGGAGCAACCCUUGAGCCUGUCCGAUCCCCAUCAUUGAGGCUAAAUAAUCUAUACAAGCUUUUAUAGCAGACCCAAAAGCGACAAUUUCAUAAAAGCGUCAUCCGGGGCGCUAAUUUUUCCCCCACAAGAGUUCCGGACCCCAGUUAUGAACUCAUUUGAUAGUUGAGCCAAUCCGAGCUCAACUAUCAAACUAAUUUAUGAGCACAUAACAAGUGAUGGGCGAUAAGAUAAGGUCACUUGGUUAAAGAAUGACCGUGCUUUUUUUCUCUUUUAAUAAUGCUUGUUGUUCUUGUUUCAACCGCGGCUGCCUCUGCGUAGUUAUUUGUGUUGUUGUUUACUUUCUAAAAGAGUAAGGGGAGAGGGUUAUUAGCACAUCACCAUCUACCCACAUUUUCCCCAUCCAUAUCUCUACCCUAUGGGGCCCUAACAAAAUCCGAUAAUAGGUAUAGAUGAAAAUCUAUCUAAUUACUUGUUUUCUACUAAAAUUAGGCAUAAUAACUUGACGAUUAGUCGCCUUACAACACCGUUCUUAGUCUCGAAGAGUGUGUUUGUUAACUUGACCACAAGAUCAAGGUGAGCUCUGAUUGGCUGUAUGCAAAUGAGUUCAUUACUGGGGUCCGGAACUCUCGUAAGAAAAAACUUCGCGUCCGGAGCAGACCGUCUCCAUCGCCCCUCGCCCCUCUUUUAACUACAUUACAGUUCCUUCACAUGAGCUACUUUCUAUAAAAUUUUUAUUCUAGUCGAGUGAGUUCUGAUUGAGUAGACAUGAUCAAAGAUGUUCCAGUCGGACCAGCACCUCUAUUAUAUUGUUACAUAAAGACACAGUGAAGGCAUGACUUAGUAGUUAGGAUAUUCGGCUACCAAUCGAAAGAGCGUGAGUUCGAUUCUCGGCGGUGCUUUAUGUCUUGGGUAAGACACUUUAUUUCAUGUUGUUCCAGUCCGUUCAGCUGGCAAAAAUGGGAGGCACUUUUAUUUCAAAGGGUCAGCCUAGUCACAUUCUGUGUUGCGUUGAAUCUCUCUGAGACUAUGUUAUGGGUACGCAUGUCUCUCUCUCUCUCUCUCUCUCUCUCUCUCUCUCUCUCUCUCUCUCUUACUCUUUUACUUGUUUCAGGCAUUUUGACUGCGGCCAUGCUGGAGCACCGCCUUUUAAUCGAGCAACUCAACCCCGGGACUUAUUCUUUUGCCGAACCACUAAGUAACGGGGACAUAAACACACCAACAUCGGUUGUCAAGCAAUGUUGGGGGGACAAACACAGACACACACACACACACACACAUAUAUACAACGGGCUUCUUUCAGUUUCUGCCUACCAAAUCCACUCACAAGGCUUUGGUCGGCCCGAGGCUAUAGUAGAAGAUACUUGCCCAAGGUGCCACGCAGUGGGACUGAACCCGGAACAAUGUGGUUGGUAAGCAAGCUACUUACCGUGGAGUACUCAGCCACUUCCACACUAAUUUCACGAGCAAGCUGUUCUGUUCACUGAAUCAACUGGAACCCUCAACGCCGCAACCGACGGAGCGCCAAUAUUACAAAGACACUGCCAGUGCAAGGUCGGAAGAUUCGGAUGGCACCACCGCUGCUCCAUAUCAUUUUAAGAAUUUCCUCUAUUCUUUUAUCCAUUAUAUAUUCCAGCCCAAAGGCUGUGGCCAUGCUGGGGCUCCGCCAUUUUCAUCACCUUUUACAAUAGCCAUAUUUAUGUGGUUGACUUUUGAUGAAUGGGGAAGUUUCAUAUAACUGCUCUUAUCUGAGUUUCUUGUCGUGACAUAAGCUCGUCUGGGAUCUUGGACAACGGAAAGUCAAGGUCCUUCUUGAAAACACCUACCCCAUCUCUAUAUAGAUCCCUGUUAUCUAAUACAUAUUUUAAUUGUAUGUGUUUCUAAAAUUAGACGGCCAAUAGUGCUUCCAUUUUGAUAAAUAACCCCUCUACUCGGUGGAAAUCCUGACAACACCCUUGGUAUUCUACCCUGUAGCAUGGAUAGUUUAUCUGGGAAUAUAGUAUUUAAUUUAUAUUUAAUGUAUCCUUCCUGUUUUUCAAGACGGUAAGAUGAGAUACGAGGAAAAUAUGACAGUCGUUGGCUCUAGUAUGGUUUUUAUAGAAAAUAGGUUUUCAAUGACAAGACUUACUAACCACACCCAUACUUUUAUAUAUAUUUUUUCUCCUAGGAUAAUACGUACGUAUAAACACGCACAUACAUACAUACAUACAUACAUACAAAGCCCUGUGAGUGCUGGACGGAAACAGAAAGGAGCCCGUCGUAUAUAUAUAUGUGUGUGUCUAUAUAUAUAUAUAUAUAUAUAUAUAUAUAUAUAUAUAUAUUGUAAUUAGUUGUUUUUCUUUGGUGGUCUCUUGUAAGAGUGACUGCCCAGAGCAGAGGCGGAAAAUGAUUUUUUGAAAAUCAUUGUGUAAAGUAAGUUGGAUAACGCCUAUAGUAGACUUUCAAUGUUCUCUAGGACUAAAGGUAAAAACAGCUAGGAAAAAUAAGCACGCUUAUGUUUCUUUUUGUUGUUUUGCAUCUAAAGUAUCAAGCAUGGAAAAGAGAUUGCCAAAGAAGUAUGUAGCAUUAGAGAUUGAAGAAUGAGCGAAGUAUUUAGUACAGAUUCUAUGACAGUGAUGCAACAGGAAUGACAGGAGAGAGGGGAUAUGAAUAAAAUGAAGGAGUUUAAAUAAAGGUGAUACAGUAAGCAAAUUCAGGGGAUAAAGACAAUAGCAGUAUCGACAGAGAGGCAGCGGGAGAAUAACGUCAGGCUGGCUGGUGAUUUUAAUAUCCAUUUAAAUAUCUUUGUAUGUCGUUGCCACUUGAUAUCUCACGAUUGUUACUAAAUAUGUCAGUUCUGUGAAAUAUAUAGUUUGUUGAAGGUGGAAUUCACAUUAUUAGCAACUGCCAGCGCUUGCUUCCUAAAAGGCGCAGUAUUUUAGCAGCUGUCGUUCUUGAAAACACUUAUCGGAAGUAUGGAAGAGAAGUGUGAAAUUAUCAAUAACACUAAAUAUCAAUAAAAAGACAAACUUUCUUUUCUUUUCUUUUUCUUUCCAGUUUUUCUUUCUUUUUUCCAUAGUUCGAAAUGUUAAAACGAGAAAACUAAGAUGGCGUCACACUACGUUAUUAAGAGAUGAGUAAAAGUGAAAGUUGAUAUUCAAAUUUCCUUUUGAAUAUAAAUUUCUAACGAUUCCAUGUCGAAAUUUAUAAUUUAAAUUUCGAUUUGAGUUCACUUUCAAAUUUGGAUUUUUUAAAAAAAAGUUUCUGUAUCAUAUUUUCUUCAGGGGUCAUCAUCCAACAUCAAUUUAUGAAAAAGCUUCGAUUUUAUCAAAAUGUAAUUCAUAAACCCCAAAACUAUUCGAAUGAUAAAAUAAAAACGGAGAGAAAAAACUGGGAGAAGAGGGUAACGAAAUUUUGGAAGGAAAAUUUUUGAUAAUAAGGAACAGUGAAACGUUUUGUAUUAUAGUUCAAUGUGUGUGUGUGUGUGUGUGUGUGUGUGUGUGUAUGUGUGUGUGUGUGUGUGUGUGUAUGUGUGUGUGUGUGUGUGUAUAAAGUCGAUGCCCCACUAAGGCCGCAGUCUGAUCACUGAAACAAGAUAAAAAAUAUAUACACACACAGAUAUAUCUAUCUAUCUAUCUAUCUAUAUAUAUAUAUAUAUAUAUAUAUAUAUAUAUAUAUAUAUAUAUAUAUAGUUAAUCCAAACAUGAAAACACAAAGAGAAAACACAACAACGAGAGGACGUGGAACAAGUAUAGUGUUAUUGGACGCUCAAUCAUUCAACAUUCAAAGUGGUUGAAUAUAUUAAAUCCACCAUUUCGUCAAUCGCAGCAGAUUAUAAACCUAGAAAAGUACAGGACAAGUUAUUACACCUGUAAAAGUAUAGGACAAACUAUUACUUCAAGUAAAGAAUAAGAAACUUUUUACUUAAAACAUUGCAGCUAAAAUGAAAAUUUUGACUAUAAAAAAUAUUUUAUUAUAGUUUACAAAUAAUACUAUACUUAUUUAAGUAGAAUUUGGCUAAUUUACUACCUUAAAUACAGAAAAAAGUGACUUAUUAGACAAACUUACAAAUUCGCUGAAUAGUUUUGUACGAUAAAUUUAAAAGAUGAGAACUGUAAAGAGUGAUAAAUUAGGAGAACUGGCAUUCUUUACUGCAAUAUUUUAAGUAAAAAGUUUCUUAUUCUUUACUUUACUUCAAGUAAUAAUCUAUCCUAUACUUUUACAGAUGUAAUAACUUGUCCUGUACUUUUCCAGAUUUAUAAUUUUAAGAAUAUUACUUUUCAUGCUCGCAUUUUUGCAUGUAAUAUAUUAUAUUAAAGUCAGCGGCGCAAGCCAGAGUUAUCGUAGUAGAAACCUAGUGGUGAAAAAAUUGCACUGCCGUGUGUAAAAAGGAGACGAUUUCUUUUUGAAACAAAACUAAUUCGUACAAGAACAACGAUUGGAAUUUUUACCUCUCGGGAAUAAGUAUCCUUUUCAUUUGUUUAUUUUCGUUUCCUCUUGUUUGUUUUGUUUACUGAAAAUUUGACUUUAAGAGGUAUAGUUUGUUUGCAAUCUUCUGUUUGAAAAAUGUUUUAAGGCAGCAAAUUUGUCACGAAACCUCUUCUUUUUUUGUUUUGUUUUGUCUUCCCACAUCCCGCUAUCGUUUUUCACGUAACUUUUCUAUCACUCAGCGGCACUUUUCGUUUCGUACCCUCUAUUUCUCUCUUUCCCUCACAUUCUCGUUACCUGCUCUUCCCUUCUCUCCUUCAUAUCAUCCUCCAUUUCCUUUCUCUCUCUCUCACUCUUUCAUAUCUUUCUCUAUCCCCCUCUCUUCUUUCCCUCUCUCCUUGCUAUCGUAUUAUGUGUAACUUCUCACUCACAGCGGCCUUUCUCAUUCCAUAACCUGUUUUUCUCUUUCCUUCAUAUCUUCUUUACCUGCUCUUCCCCUCACAAGAAAAAAAGAAAUCCUCAUGAAAAUGGAACAUCAAGUGAGCGUGUUUCUUAUGGGUGAUUUCAACUUCCCCAACGUCAAAUAGCUCGAAGGCCUCAUGUUCUCAAGAAUGACUCAUUGCAAACAAGUACAGGUGGAGUCCCUGCUCAAUCUCACCACUGUCCUAUACAUGGAGCAAGUUGUACUCAGACCAACUAGGGUGAAUAACAUAUUGGAUCUCUGCUUCACGAACAAUAUGGACAUCGUCCAUAAUGUGAAAGUGACGCCGACUCUAGUUUCGGAACACAAUAUAAUAGAGCUGUCUAUUUAUGGACCAGAAGUUACCAGAGACAUACAGCCUAAAGGAAGCACCAAAAAUCUCUCCAAUCUGAACUUCCACAAAGCAGACUGGAAAUCGAUUUAAAAAGAGAUCCUAUGACAGGACUGGCCGAAAUGUCUCUCCAUACCAGACAUUAGCAUGAAACUAGAAUAUUUCAUGUCUGUUAUGCAAACCUUAUGCUAGAAAAAUGUCCCAGAGUACAAGACCAACAGAAAAAGGAACAAGAUUCCAAGUGGGAGGAAGAUCCUCACGAGACGACGGACGAAGGUUGCAAAUCGCUUCAACCAACAUACCAAAAGUAGUGAAAGGUCCCGCCUGAAAACAACACUGAUGGAGAUUGAAAAAAGCAUGUAACAAUCCUUUGUGAAAGAGAGAGCAGACAAAGAAGCCUGGGUUAUAAAAAAUAUCAAGUCAAACCCAAAGGCCUACUUUCAUAAUGCUAAAGAAACAGCCUCAGUUCGCUGCAAAUUAGGACCCCUCUUCCAAAAGGAUGGCUCCCGCACAGAUAACCCAACCAGGAUCAGUGAGGUACUGAAUGACCAGUUCAAAAGCGUCUUUAUCACCCCGUUGGAAAACAGCGGACCUUAAAGCAAUUCAGCGAAGCUUCGCAAAGAAGAUCAUUUCAUUGCAACAGCUCAGCUACUGGGAAAGGUUGAAGCAGCUAAGACUAUACUCCCUGAAGCGAAGGUGGGAGAGAUAUGCAGUAGUAUACAUCUGGAAGGUCCAAGAAGAGAUAGUGCCAAAUUUGGGCAUCGAAAGCUACACAAAUGCCAGAACGGGUCUCCACUGCACAGUGCCAAAGAUCCCAGCAAUGCCGUCGCGCUUCAGGACCAGUUACUGCAACAGCCUGGGUUUCAGGAGCCCACAGCUUUUUAAUAUUCUCCCAAAGAGCCUGAGGGUACCUACAGAAAGUGAAUGUAGGUGUUUUCAAAUCAAAACUGGAUCUCUUCUUGUCGAGAGCCCCAGAUGAAUCUACCGCACGGCAGAAGGUGAAAAUGAGAGUAGCGACAUCAAGCUUCCUUAUUCACCAAAUGCCAUAUAUCAGAGGAGGCUCUCAAUAAUAACAGUGUAGGAAAACGGCGGUGCUUCAGUAUGGUCACAGCUCUGAGCUGAAACCGAUAAGAAAUAUAUAUAUAUAUAGGGAGAGUUUACGAAAAAAACAAAAGACGAAGACAGGUGGUGUACAAAACAAAUAGAUGUAUUAGUAUAACACUCAGGAAGAGAAAAAGUCUUUUACUUUUCGAGCCUACGCUCUUCUACAGAAAGGGACACAGAAAAAACAAGGAGAGAAAAAAUGUGUGUAGUGGCUAACGAUAUACUCACGUGUGUGUGUGUGUGUGUGUGUGUGUGUGUGUGUGUGAUACAUAUAAAUACACGCACACACAUAAACAUAUAAGAAAUGCCUGAUAGUACAAGAAACAUUGUAAAUAUCUGACGGACUGGAAAAAAACUAGAUGACUCAAACAGAUAAUGCCACAGAAACGUUAUGGAACCUGAAGCGAAUUUAAGAUAUUUUAGAUAGUGUUACUUUGAAGUGAGAUCCGCAGAAAAAAUGGCACCCGGAAUUUUGCGGGCUUAAAUAUGCUUAAAUAAAAUUUGAUACAAACAUAUUUAUAUAAAAAAUUACUUUUACCCUUUUCGUAAAAGUGGCUUCAAAUUUUGGCACAUGGCCAGCAAUUUUGAAGGGAACAGGAAAUCGAUUACAUUGAUGCUAGUAUUUGACUGGUACUUUAUUUUAAUCAGACCUAAAACGAUGAAAGGUAAAAACGACCUCGGCGAAAUUUGAACUUAGAAUAUAAACGUGCAUUUUGUUCGCUGGUUCCGCUAGCUUGCCACCUUUAUCACUAUCAAAAUAAUGUUGUAAUAUGGUCUUUUCUCUUUAUUUAUAUAGAUAAAUUCUUUCUCAGAAGCACUUUUUUUUUCUUGGUUUAUCCAAUGCCUUAGGCUGAUGGGGUGUUGUUUGUAAAAUAUAGCACUGGAUUUCGUGAUUUGGAGAAAAAAUAUGAGUUGCGCGCCAAAAUUAAUGUAGGAACCGUUAAUAUAAGACAUAGUCUCCCAUCACAGUUGUCACAAAAUAUAAUGACUGAGAUUCGAUAGAAAGAAAAAUUCGAAAGAAAAAUUAGCGUUCAGUUUUGUUUUGUAUUUUCCUUCUUUUUUUCUUAUAGUAUUCAUGUGUUUCAUACAACGGAAAUUAUGAUUAUAAAAACAGAAAAAAGAAAACUGUUUUGUUGUAUAUUAGGAAGGUCAUAAAAUCAAUAAUAAACACAUGCACUGGCUAUGUUUUACUUCUUUUGUUAUAUUAUUACUGAAUUAAUUAACCAUUUAACCAGUUAACUAAUCAAAUGCCUGAUUAUUCGUUUGGCUGAUCAAACAGUCGAUUAAUUGGUUAUUUAGUUGACCAGUUAAAUAAAUACUAAAGAAGUUAAAUAGAACCAGUGCUGUGUUUAUAAUUGGCAUAAUGACCCUCCUUACAUACAACAAAAUCUUUUUUAAUACAUGAGUUCACACCAAGAAUCUUACAAACUAAAUUGUAAAAACGAAACAAUAGGUAUUUUUCCAAAAUUCAAUCGUUUCACAAUUUUGCACUCCUCCCUUUCCGUAACCUUUUUUUUCUUUCCCGUGAGGUAUGGAAUCCGAAACUCCGCCAAAAAAUAUUACCAAUACAACAACUACGAUUCUGUAAUUGGGCAUUUAAACGCGUUAGUAAUGUGAAAAACAUUAAGAGAUGAUUUGUUAAUGUAUUUAGCUAAUGGCAUUAACGCGAUAAAUGAAGCUAUUACAAUAGCAAAUUGAAACUGGGUCGCAGAAUUUAUUCGCAAAGAAAAUGUACCACCCAGCAUCGUAGCCAGUUAUGUACGUGAACAAAGAUGAAGCUAUGGUGGUGGCGAUGGUAGAAGUGGUGGAGUGGUGGAGUGGUGGUAGUGGAAGAAGAUUUUUUUUUUUGUUUUUUGCGAUGGAAGAUAGAGACCGUAGAAGCAAAGGUUACACUGCUUCGUCGGAGUCAAACUUUGGUUCGUUGAAUAUAAACACUUAGUAACAUUUGCAGCUGACUGUCUUUUCGUCAAAAAACCCCCACGAACCUGGACAGUCUUAUCGCUUAGAAAACGGCAUGUGAAUAUAGAUGACUACUGAAAAAGCAUUUUACUGGUCUCCAUUUUUUUCUUUUCUUUUUUCUUAUAGAUUUUUAUCUGAUCUGACAUUGGGAUGAAAGCUAACCAAAAUAUAAGAACAAUAAGAAUAAAAAGAAGACAGAGAUAGAUAAUAAAAAAUAAAAAAAAAGGGAAGAAUCUUGACAGAAAGAUA
rnacentral:lncRNA from 1 species